CCCCUCCUCUAUCAACCCAGUAUCACAGCUUUUUGAAAAUUCUGGUCAACGAUAUGAUCAAAAGGUUCCAAACAGACCAAAUCCUCCCCCACCUGAUGUGCUACCUCCACUGCCUUCUCCUCCUCCAUUGCCUCUAUCCCAGCCACCUUCUAUACCACCUCCCCCGAGGUUUAGCCCCCACAAUCCUCAAUCUGCUCUUGAAAGUUCUAACACAAGAGCCAGUGAACAGCACCCUCAUUAUCAGUGGCAAGGUUCUCUUUCUAAGAGUGGGGUCCACUACUGUACAAUUUAUGCUGUCAGAGAGGACUCAAAUAUUUGCAAGUAUACAGUAGCUGCAUCAGAACCUGUCGACUGGCCUGCCCGAUUGGAUGUAACAAAGCGUGCAGUAUUUCAUCAUGUGAAGACAAUCUUUGCUAACACACCAUCUCACAAAGUAGUGUUUUAUAAGUCGCUGGCUUAGUUGUGCAUUGAUAUGCCAUUCUACCUGGAACCUAGUGUUUACCUUCAUAGAGGUC